GGGUGUGUAGCUCAGUUGGUAGAGCAAUUGACUCUUAAUCAAUGGGUCCAGGGUUCGAGUCCCUGCACUCCCACCA
rnacentral:tRNA from 1 species